UACGUAGGGGGCAAGCGUUGUCCGGAAUCAUUGGGCGUAAAGCGCGCGUAGGCGGCCCGGUAAGUCCGUUGUGAAAGUCAAAGGCUCAACCUUUGAACGCCGAUGGAUACUGCCGGGCUAGAGUCCGGAAGAGGCGAGUGGAAUUCCUGGUGUAGCGGUGGAAUGCGCAGAAAUCAGGAGGAACACCGGUGGCGAGGCGGAUCUCUGGGCCAUUACUGACGCUGAGGAGCGAAAGCGUGGGGAGCGAACAGG
rnacentral:rRNA from 1 species